GUGCUCAGUUUGGCAGCACAUAUACUAAAAUUGGAACAAUACAGAGAAGAUUAGCAUGGCCUCUGUGCAAGGAUGACAUGCAAAUCCCCUCCACCCUGUCCUGUUGUUU
ensembl:snRNA U6 U6 spliceosomal RNA